rnacentral:tRNA from 1 species
GCCUGGGUGGCUCAGUUGGUUGAGUGUCUGACUUCAGCUCAGUCAUGAUCUCACAGUUUGUGAGUUUGAGCCCCACAUCAGGCU